UACGGAGGGGGCUAGCGUUGUUCGGAAUUACUGGGCGUAAAGCGCACGUAGGCGGCUUUGUAAGUUAGAGGUGAAAGCCCAGGGCUCAACCCUGGAAUUGCCUUUAAGACUGCAUCGCUUGAACAUCGGAGAGGUAAGUGGAAUUCCGAGCGUAGAGGUGAAAUUCGUAGAUAUUCGGAAGAACACCAGUGGCGAAGGCGACUUACUGGACGAUUGUUGACGCUGAGGUGCGAAAGCGUGGGGAGCAAACAGG
rnacentral:rRNA from 1 species